rnacentral:rRNA from 1 species
UACGUAGGGGGCUAGCGUUGUCCGGAUUUAUUGAGCGUAAAGAGCUCGUAGGCGGCUUUGUAAGUCGGACGUGAAAUCCCACGGCUUAACUGUGGGGCGCCGUUCGAUACUGCGAGGCUAGAGGCCGGUAGGGGACGUGGAAUUCCUGGUGUAGCGGUGAAAUGCGCAGAUAUCAGGAGGAACACCGGUGGCGAAGGCGGCGUCCUGGGCCGGUCCUGACGCUGAGGAGCGAAAGCUGGGGGAGC